rnacentral:rRNA from 1 species
GACACGACUUUGGGCAACGGAUAUCUCGGCUCUCGCAUCGAUGAAGAACGUAGCGAAAUGCGAUACCUGGUGUGAAUUGCAGAAUCCCGCGAACCAUCGAGUCUUUGAACGCAAGUUGCGCCCGAGGCCACCCGGUCGAGGGCACGCCUGCCUGGGCGUCACG